GGGCGUCGCGGAUGCCGCUGGUGACGGCGAGCGGCGGGUCGGUGCCGAGAGCGGAACUUGCUGCGGCGGGUCGGUGCCCGGGGCAGGGCAGCCCGAGCGCGCGGCCGCCUGGGGAAUCCGGCCACGGGGACUAGGUUACAGUCAAAGCACCCAAGGAACUGGAUUCUGCUAGAAUCAAUAUCAGGCUGGUUAUCUACUGAAAAAGAUAGUUUGGCAUCUUCGCUUAAUGUAAUAAAAACCUCACAUACUU